ensembl:lncRNA
CUGUACUUUGAGAUCCCCUUGCCUUGUUGUGUAAACAGUUUGUACACCUGAACCAAUGGUGUGUUCUAGUUCAGUGGCCACAGCGUGGAAGAGACAUGACUGCAAGAGAGAGCAGGGGAAAGUCCCGAACUCCAAGGAACAUUCUGUUUAAAAACAACAAUCCUGAUUCCCCCAGGUGAUGUCAAGAGAAACCUUCAGAAAAAUGAUAGAGGGAGUCCAGAAGGCCACGACUUCUGCUUGGGGGUUGUUACUGAGGUCGUCAUCUUACCUGCUCUUCUUGUUGAGAUGUGCCCUGUUCUGAGGGAAUGGCCUGAUCCUGAUUUGGCUACAUAGACUUGGCUUCUCAGAGGUGCUGGGCGUCCACACGGUGCAGCCUGGUGCCAGCACACGAGAACUUUGCAGGAGCCCUGGGAUGGGCAUCUCCCUCUGUCUACACGGCCGGUCUGAGCUCCGGGCUGGGAUCUAACUACUUUCCUGCCACUGGCAUUUCCUUCCCAUGACAUGGCCUCUACUCUGGGGAAAAGGAUCUAUGAUUUCCAAAGCAAUUUUAUUUUUGGCUUCUGGUGCUGCACCUGACACGUGAGAGUGGUAUUAGAUGGGGGACCACACUUGUUCACCAGGAUGGAGCCUCCUGUUUCAUUUCACACCCCCUUCACACAGCCUCCUGCAACUGCUGAUUGUAUCUGGCCGGUACCCACAGGGCUGGAUUCUGGCCAAAGGGAGGAGACGCCCAGCACCAAGACCCCGAGGCAUCCUUUACUAUCCCUUUCUCAAACCCCAGAGCCACGCCAUUCCCAUGUCAUAAAACUUCUGAAGCGGGCACUGAAGCCAAGAGGGGCGGCGCUGACUCAAGCCGAGCCCUCGCCCUCCCCGGCUCCUCAGCCACAGGCUGGGCCAACAUCUCAAAGCAGCUCAAGAUGGUCCCAAGAGCGGCGAAGGCCUCCCAGGGCUCCACCGGGUGCCAGGCCAGAGGAAAGCGGGACAGGGGCGGGGGCCAAGGGCUGGAGACCCCACGGUGUUUCAUGGCACAGCGACACCAGCUCAGAGGCAGAUGGCCGUGGAGGAGCAGCCUGUGACAGAGAGAGGGUGCGGGCUCUGUGAGUCACGCCGGCAGGCUCACAAAGGAUGUGUUUACAACCCACUGUGCACGUGCACAGAGCUCCUCCAGCUGGGGCCCUGGACAGUGAUCAAUGGCGGUCACUUCCAGCCUUCCAAUUGCUGACUGUAAUCCGAGACGCAGAAUGACCGUCUUCCAGGCUCGCUUCCACCAGCAACGUAGCUGCCGACGCCCCAGACCAGGCUCUUCUGAGCUCCAUGAGCCUGUCUCCAUCUGCCAACCCAGCAGCCUCACCUGAGUGCCCCUCAGGCAUCUCAGGGAGCAUUUUAUCAUCACCAAGAUCACCUCGGCAAAGACAGACUCAGGGGGCAGCCCUGACCAACGAGACCCAUAAGUCGAUGGUGACCUGUUCCAAUUUCCACAUCGUGUGUGUUCCACCUUCUGCUUCCCUGUCUGGGGAAUUAGGAUAGUUUACAAUUUGAAACUUGCUUCACCUUGUUUCCACUUGACUUUUUCCUUUUAAUAGUAUUAUUAUCAUCAGUAAUAAUACUAAUAGUACCUAUAUUUGCCCAUACUCGUGACUUUUUCAGUCCCUCUAGAUGUUGCAUAUUAUUUCAUUAUUAUUGUUUCAUGAUAACUUUAUAGGCAGUUGGUUUAUUUUGAGCAAAUUCAGUAUGCUAUUAAAGAGUAUCAAUACCCAUCUUUAGGUUGUAAUUUACUCAGUCUUCAUACAAAAGACAUUAGAUGCUGUCUUCAUACAUUAGCUCAAACUUUGGCUGAUGUCUGAUAUAAGAGAUUAGUUUUUCCCAGACAUAACUUUUUGCUUAACUAAAGGCUUUUUUCCUGAUUGGGAGAAAGGAGGAAAAAACUGACAUUUAUUGAAGCCUGAUAUAUAGCAGGCACCUUUUCAUAGCUGAUCUCACAGAGUUGUCCACUGGUCCUAAGAGACAGCUCUUAGUCCGUAUUAUAGACAGGAACGUGGGAAUAUUGCCCAAGGUCGCAGAGCUAAUAUGUGGCAGAUCCAGAAUUCAAAGUCUGGCUCAAAACAUUCCCAAAACGAGCCUGAAUUUCUGAUGUUAAAUGCAAGACUCUUAGAAUCUCAAAGCUAUAAGUAAGUAUUCAGCACUGAUAAGACUAAAUAAAUCAUAUGAAACCUAGUCAUAAAGACAGAGUCCAUAGGUCAGAAAUAAUCUUGUAAAAAAAAACCUGCACAGAAAAUUCAACUUGUAAACUUAAUUACUUGGUAGGGACACUUGAUUUUCAAUUACAUCACCUAAAGGAUAAC